UACGUAGGUGGCCAGCGUUGUCCGGAACUAUUGGGCGUAAAGCGCGCGCAGGCGGUCCUGUAAGCCUGAUGUGAAAGCCCACGGCUCAACCGUGGAGGGUCAUUGGAAACUGGAGGAAUUGAGUGCAGAAGAGGAAAGUGGAAUUCCAUGUGUAGCGGUGAAAGGCGUAGAGAUGUGGAGGAACACCAGUGGCGAAGUCGACUUUCUGGUCUGUAACUGACGCUGAGGCGCGAAAGCGUGGGGAGCAAACAGG
rnacentral:misc_RNA from 1 species